AAGUCGUAACAAGGUUUCCGUAGGUGAACCUGCGGAAGGAUCAUUACAGAGUUCAUGCCCUCACGGGUAGAUCUCCCACCCUUGACUACCUUACCUUUGUUGCUUUGGCGGGCCGCCGUUUGGCGUCGGCCUCUGCUGACUGUGCCCGCCAGAGGACCCAAACUCUUUUGUUUAGUGAUGUCUGAGUACUAUAUAAUAGUUAAAACUUUCAACAACGGAUCUCUUGGUUCUG
rnacentral:misc_RNA from 1 species